UACGGAGGUGGCGAGCGUUAUCCGGAAUGAUUGGGCGUAAAGGGUGCGCAGGCGGUCCUGCAAGUCUGGAGUGAAACGUAUGAGCUCAACUCAUGCAUGGCUCUGGAAACUGGCGGGCUAGAGAGCAGGAGAGGGCGGUGGAACUCCAUGUGUAGCGGUAAAAUGCGUAGAUAUAUGGAAGAACACCAGUGGCGAAGGCGGCCGCCUGGCCUGUUACUGACGCUGAGGCACGAAAGCGUGGGGAUCGAACAGG
rnacentral:rRNA from 1 species